rnacentral:rRNA from 1 species
UACAGAGGUGGCAAGCGUUGUUCGGAAUUACUGGGCGCAAAGGGCGCGUAGGCGGCCUUCUAAGUCAGACGUGAAAUCCCCCGGCUUAACCUGGGAACUGCGUCUGAUACUGGGAGGCUAGAGUGCGGGAGAGGGAUGCGGAAUUCCAGGUGUAGCGGUGAAAUGCGUAGAUAUCUGGAGGAACACCGGUGGCGAAGGCGGCAUCCUGGACCGACACUGACGCUGAGGCGCGAAAGCGUGGGGAGCAAACAGG